rnacentral:rRNA from 1 species
GACGAACCGUCCAAACGUUAUUCGGAAUUAUUGGGCUUAAAGGGUGCGUAGGCUGUGCAGUAAGUUGGGUGUGAAAUCCCUCGGCUCAACCGAGGAACUGCGCCGAAUACUGCUGUGCUAGAGGAAGAUAGGGGUAAGCGGAACUGAUGGUGGAGCGGUGAAAUGCGUUGAUAUCAUCAGGAAUACCGGUGGCGAAGGCGGCAUCCGUGGACCGGCAUUGACGCUGAUGGAGCGAAAAGCUAGGGGAGCAAACGGGG